CUGGAAAGAAAGAACAAAGAAUAGCUUAAGAAAAGAGAGUUUUAGCUUUGAGAGAGAGGUGCUUUUUGGAGGGCUGCCGAGAGAUAUUUCUAGGAGGGGAGAAAACAGAGAGAGGGGUCUGCUUGCUCAUUUCUGCUAGAAAGGAGCUCUCCCAAGUGCGGGUAUGGUGGAUUUUCAGUUCAUAUUUUCCUAUUACAUCGUUUUU
rnacentral:lncRNA from 1 species